CACGGGGGGAGCAAGCGUUGUUCGGAAUCACUGGGCGUAAAGGGCGUGUAGGCGGUCAGGUAAGUGAGAUGUGAAAUGCCCCGGCUCACCCGGGGACCGGCAUCUCAUACUGCUUGGCUUGAGUACGGGGAGAGGAUGUGGGAAUUCCUGGUGUAGCGGUGAAAUGCGUAGAUAUCAGGAGGAACACCGGUGGCGAAGGCGCACAUCUGGCCCGAUACUGACGCUGAGGCGCGAAAGCUAGGGGAGCAAACGGG
rnacentral:rRNA from 1 species